rnacentral:rRNA from 1 species
CCUACGGGAGGCAGCAGUAAGGAAUAUUGGACAAUGCUCGCAAGAGUGAUCCAGCCAUGCCGCGUGCAGGAAGACGGCCCUAUGGGUUGUAAACUGCUUUUGAACUAGAGAAAACCCUCCUACGUGUAGGAGGCUGAUAGUAUAGUUAGAAUAAGCAUCGGCUAACUUCGUGCCAGCAGCCGCGGUAAGACGAAGGAUGCAAGCGUUAUCCGGAUUCAUUGGGUUUAAAGGGAGCGUAGGUGGACUGAUAAGUCAGUGGUGAAAUCUCUCGGCUUAACCGAGAAAUUGCCAUUGAUACUGUUGGUCUUGAGUACAGUUGCUGUGGGCGGAAUAUGACAUGUAGUGGUGAAAUACAUAGAGAUGUCAUAGAACACCGAUUGCGAAGGCAGCUCACAAAGCUGUAACUGACACUGAGGCUCGAAAGUGCGGGGAUCAAACAGGAUUAGAUACCCUGGUAGUCCGCACCGUAACGAUGAUUACUCGCUGCUGGGAGGUAACUUCAGUGGCUUAGCGAAAGCGANAAGUAAUCCACCUGGGGAGUACGCCGGCAACGGUGAAACGUCAAAUGAAUUGACGG